rnacentral:rRNA from 1 species
AUUGAACGCUGGCGGCAUGCCUUACACAUGCAAGUCGAACGGCAGCACGGGAGCAAUCCUGGUGGCGAGUGGCGAACGGGUGAGUAAAGUAUCGGAACGUGCCCAGUCGUGGGGGAUAACGUAGCGAAAGUUACGCUAAUACCGCAUACGAUCUAUGGAUGAAAGCGGGGGAUCGCAAGACCUCGCGCGAUUGGAGCGGCCGAUAUCAGAUUAGGUAGUUGGUGGGGUAAAGGCUCACCAAGCCGACGAUCUGUAGCUGGUCUGAGAGGACGACCAGACAAACGGGGACUGGGAAACGGCCCGGACUCCUACGGGAGGCAGCAGUGGGGAAUUUUGGACAAUGGGCGCAAGCCUGAUCCAGCCAUGCCGCGUGCAGGAUGAAGGCCUUCGGGUUGUAAACUGCUUUUGUACGGAACGAAAAGGUUUGGCUUAAUACGUUGAACUCAUGACGGUACCGUAAGAAUAAGCACCGGCUAACUACGUGCCAGCCGCCGCCGUAAAAC